rnacentral:lncRNA from 1 species
UGAGAAUAGGGUAAAGGGGGGCCGGUAGCAAUAGGAUUCCAGGGGGUUUCGGAUAAGGUUUGGGUUUUUGAUUUUAAAAAUAGAUUUAAUUACCUGUUACACCUUUUAAUUCACCAAAAAUCAUAGGAGCACCCAAGAAUAGUGAAAUAAAUUUUAAUAGGUUUGUUUUUAUCUCCUUUACACAUUAAAAUUAUUAAAACUUAUUUGAUUAUAACAUUUUUGGGUAUUUAUUUAGUGCCUUUAAUCAAAGGUAUUAAAUAAGUACUUAAUAAUUCCAAAAUACAUAAAAUAUGAACUAAUGCUUUUCUAAUUACAAAUUAAUCAUAAUCUAUAGUAAUUAGGAGUUUAAGAUUAGAAAAUAAUUUGAUGCUUUUCUAAAAUAAAAGAAAAGGCUUAUUUUUUUUUAAAUAAAA